CACACACCGCAUGCGCUAAAUGAAAAAAACGUUAAAAACAUGCUUCGAAAGUUCGACCCAGUGUCGAAACCUCAGAAUCGAGCGGCCCAUCAUUAGCCAGGGGUCGUGAGAACAAAGUGGACGCUGGGAGGCGUGGAAUGUCGGGCUGCUUCGCCGGGUCGUGAGCUUCGCAGUUUUUGGGCAGCGUCCUCUCUUCUCGCACUGUUUGUGACACUUCAAGUGCCCCGUCGGCUCCUGGGAGAGUGGAAAUCGUUGGGAAUGAGUGUAAUCGGCGCCAUCGAAGCACGACUCUGUUUGUAAAUUGCCAUGCACGACUACUUACUGUCCUUACUUAAGCGAGAUCAAAGUCAUGUGAUGAAGUCAGGUGCCCCAGCUGUAUCCUGCAGGUCCUACUGGUGUGCUGAACACGUCAGCCUGUCUUUGGGGUCUCUGAGACUGGAGGAGGUCAGGAGUCCAACUGUACAGCAGGCACUGAUGGCCAUCAGCAUCACGACUGGUAACAAGAUAGAGAUGACAGAUAUUUGAGCUGGACAUAAUCCUAUAUGAGUAUCCAAGCAAACAGCAUUUUAAGAGCACACCGAGUCUGUCUACUCCAGUAUGGCCCUGACAUAACACCCUGUACAGCUGUAAACGACUCCACUUUACUGGUCAUUUAGCACACACUGCACUGAGUCUGUCAAGUCAUAGCCAUUAAAUCAUUCAAUCUGAACAGCUGGAAAUUUAUUUUGGUAAUGAUAUUUCUGGUAAGCCAUUUUUAUAUUGUUGUUUCUUAUUGGUUUAUACUGAAAAUCUGGUUUACAUCAAUGUAGUUUUCAAUAGUAUGAAAUUAUAGUAUAUUAAAAAAUUAAAGGAACACUUUGAAAGCACAUGAGAUCUUAAUGGGAAAAAAAAUCUUGCUGGCUGUCUCUACUGCUGUGGACUGAUGUAUUAGGAACAAAAGGAUGGCAGCUCGUUUGUUGGAAAUGAAAAUGAUGAGCCUACAGAGGGCUGAAUUCAAAGACACCCCGAAAAUCAAAGGGAAAAAACGAUGCGGCAGGCAGGCAGGCGAGUCCAUUUUGACGAAAUUUCAUUGCAGCAACUCCAAAUAGCACUCAGUAAUUUGUAUGCCCCCAUGUGCUUGUGUGCAUGCCUGACAACAUUUGGGGGGGAGGGGGGCAUGGUGUCCUGGGGGAUCUCCUCCCAGAUCUGGACCAGGGCAUCACUGAGCUCCUGGAAAGUCUGAGGUGCAACCUGGUGGCGUUGGAUGGACUGAAAUAUAAUGUCCCACCCAGAGGUGUUCUUGGGGCAGUCAAUGGGAUCAAUUCCUUCAUCCUCUGACCACAUGAUGCCGGCCGUUGUGGUGCACCAGGAGGAACUGCACCAGCAUAGGGUCUGCCAAUGGGUCCAAGGAUUUCAUCCAGAUACCUAAUGGCAGUUAAGGUGCCUACUGUUGUCUAAUCUGUAGAGGUCUGUGUGUCCCUCCAUGGAUAUGCCUCCAUAGACCAUCACUGACCCACCACCAAACCGGUCAUACUGAACUACGCCACAGGCAGAAUAACAUUCUCCAUGGCUUCUCCAGACCCUUUCACAUCUGACACGUGCUCAGGGUGAACCUGCUCUCAUCUGUGAAAAGCACAGGGUGCCCACUAGUGGUAGACCUGCCAAUUCUGGUAUUCUAUGGCAAAUGCCAAUCGAGGUCCAUGGUGCUCACUAGAGGAUGUUGGGCCACCCUCCUCAAGUCUGUUUGUGAUUGUUUGGUCAGAGACAUUCACACCAGUGGCCUGCCUGCUGGUGGUCAUUCUAUAGGCUCUGGCAGUGCUCAUCCUGUUCCUCCUUGGCCAAAGGAGCAGAAACUGGUGAGUCCUGCUGAUGGGUUAAGGACCUUCUACAAGGGGCCCUGUCCAGCUGUCCUGAAGUAACUGCCUGCCUGUCUCCUGGCAUCUCCUCCAUGCCCUUGAGACUGUGCUGGGAGACAUGGCAAACCUUCUGGCAAUGGCACGUGUUGAUGUGCCAUCCUGGAGAAGUUGGACUACCUAUGCCAGCUCUGUAGAGUCCAGGUAUGGCCUCAUGCAACCAGUAGCGACACUGACUGUUGCCAAAUGCAAAACAAGUGACAAAACAGAUGAGGAAGGAAAAAUGUCAGUUCCUUCCUCCACCUGUUAAACCAUUCAUUCUUGUUUUGUAGGUCGUCUCAUUGUUGCACCUCUAGUGCCCCAAAGCAGCUGAAACUGAUAAACAAGCCCCACUGCUACUUAAAUGACCAGGGGCCUCAUGUAUAAACGGUGCGUACGCACAGAAAUGUUGCGUACAAACCUUUCCACGCUCAAAUCGCGAUGUAUAAAACCUAAACUUGGUGUAAAGCCACGCACAUUUCCACGGUACCUCAUACCUUGGUGUACGCAAUUUCUCCGCUCGGUUUUGCAGACUGGCGGCACCCAGCGUCAAAGCAGUGCUACUGUUCCUGUGUGGUCACCCUUUCUUUCUUAGCUCCACAUUCCUGACGCGGCUUUAUAAAUACACUGAAACUAACUGCAUAUUGUUUAUUAGUGUAACGCAUUUGAUUGUAAUUAACCUGCAGCAAUAUAAUGGUCCAGGGAAUAGCCAUAGUAUUCCAAAUACCAUAACUGCUUUAGUGUUGUUACUCUUACUGCAUCUUCUUCUUCUUUCAGCUGCUCCCGUUAAGGGUUGCCACAGCGGAUCAUCUUUUUCCAUAUUACUCUCACUGCACCACUCGGAGUAUUUAUAUCACUGUAUCUGAGUGUGAAUCAUAGCAGCAGCUGAUCGGAAAGAGAAAUAUCGGUAUACAGCAUGAAGCAGACGCUGCCUGAGCCACGGCAAAAAACACUUUAGAGACUUCCCAGUACGGACUUCGCGGUUUAGAAAAGGUUUCAUCCCAAGAACUCUAAACGCACUCAAUCAGUCCAUCAAGUGCUCCUUGUAGAACUGUUUGUACUUAUAAGUACAAUUACCUCACUGUAAACUUGUACUACAGUUAUAAUAUUGCACAACCUGCGCCACUUUAUAAAGCGCGUAUUUACAUAUGAUGACGGUAUUCAUUUUUAAGAUGAAAUGCAGCAAAAUAUGUUGAUUAUAGUAUACAGAUAAAACUUUA